CUGAGGAUUCUAGUCAGCUGAAUAACGAGAGUCGGGAUGAAUCUAGUCUUGCCGGUAAAGGCACACAAAGGAAUUUGCGGAAGAGGACACGUGCUACUUCAUCUCAAAUCAUGGGUGAGAAUGAGCAUGAUGACAGUGAGGUACGCUCUGGCAGUGUUGUGGAAGGUCAACCACGGAAAAGACGACAGAGGGCUGUCCCAGCUGUGCGAGCUCCUGAGAAACGAUACAAUCUCCGGCGGACUAAAGUUGUAGAUGCUUCUAAAGACCCUUGUAAUGUUAAUAAAGAAGAUGCGCCUGUGAACCGUACAGAGGAG
rnacentral:misc_RNA from 1 species